CGAGAUAUCGCGGCCCACAGAGCGUUCAAGAUUGGUGUUCAGAAUGUCGCAAUUCCAACAUGAGUAUGGCAUUUGGUGCGUCUCAUGUGCCGAACCCAGAAUCCUUGUGAUAGUUUGAUUCAUUUUAGAGACCCCCGCUAGUGCUGAGAAUGUUCAGAGCAAAGUAAAACAAGCCGACAAGCGGACGAGAGAAAAAAAGAGUUGAUUGUCCUCCGGGGCCCCAGAUUUCGCUUGGACGCGCCCGGGCAGAGAAUCCCGCCGAGGCAACAGAUUGGUAACGUUCACAUUGGGGUUGGGAGUUUAAACUCGGUAAUGAUCCGUAGGUGAACUGCGGAGGGAUCAUUACCGAGUUUACAACUCCCAAACCCCAAUGUGAACGUUACCAAUCUGUUGCCUCGGCGGGAUUCUCUGCCCCGGGCGCGUCGCAGCCCCGGAUCCCAUGGCGCCCGCCGGAGGACCAACUCAAACUCUUUUUUCUCUCCGUCGCGGCUUCCGUCGCGGCUCUGUUUUACCUUUGCUCUGAGCCUUUCUCGGCGACCCUAGCGGGCGUCUCGAAAAUGAAUCAAAACUUUCAACAACGGAUCUCUUGGUUCUGGCAUCGAUGAAGAACGCAGCGAAAUGCGAUAAGUAAUGUGAAUUGCAGAAUUCAGUGAAUCAUCGAAUCUUUGAACGCACAUUGCGCCCGCCAGUAUUCUGGCGGGCAUGCCUGUCCGAGCGUCAUUUCAACCCUCGAACCCCUCCGGGGGGUCGGCGUUGGGGAUCGGCCCCUCACCGGGCCGCCCCCGAAAUACAGUGGCGGUCUCGCCGCAGCCUCUCCUGCGCAGUAGUUUGCACACUCGCACCGGGAGCGCGGCGCGGCCACAGCCGUAAAACACCCCAAACUCUGAAAUGUGACCUCGGAUCAGGUAGAUGCCGCAUC
rnacentral:rRNA from 1 species